rnacentral:rRNA from 1 species
GAUUUCUGGCACGAUGUGCCUGGCCCGCGCCGUUAGGUUGUGAGUGCUGGGUUACGUCUGCCAUCCUUCCAGACAGCGCCUCUACCCCUCACGGGGCCGGAGAGCGCCAUCUGGAUCUUUUACUUUGAAAAAAUUAGAGUGUUUCAAGCAGGCAUUUGCUGUGAAUACAUUAGCAUGGAAUAAUCAACUAGGACUUCGGUUCUAUUUUGUUGGUUUCUAGGACUGAAGUAAUGAUUGAUAGGGAUAGUUGGGGGUGCUAGUAUUCAGCGGCCAGAGGUGAAAUUCUCGGAUUCGCUGAAGACUAACUAAUGCGAAAGCAUU